GGGGCAGCGGGGUAGUGCUUGCACUACUGCCGGCGACCGGCGCACGGGUGAGUAACACGUAUGGAACCUGCCCGCAGCAGGGGGAUAAGCGGAAGAAAUUCCGUCUAAUACCGCGUAACAACGUUGGGAGGCAUCUCCCGAUGUUCAAAGAUUUAUCGGCUGCGGAUGGCCAUGCGGCGCAUUAGCUAGUCGGCGGGGUAACGGCCCACCGAGGCGACGAUGCGUAGGGGUUCUGAGAGGAAGGUCCCCCACACUGGUACUGAGACACGGACCAGACUCCUACGGGAGGCAGCAGUGAGGAAUAUUGGUCAAUGGCCGAGAGGCUGAACCAGCCAAGUCGCGUGAGGGAAGACGGCCCUACGGGUUGCAAACCUCUUUUGUCGGGGAGCAAAGCGAACCACGUGUGGUUCAUUGAGAGUACCCGAAGAAAAAGCAUCGGCUAACUCCGUGCCAGCAGCCGCGGUAAUACGGAGGAUGCGAGCGUUAUCCGGAUUUAUUGGGUU
rnacentral:rRNA from 1 species